rnacentral:rRNA from 1 species
UACGAAGGGGGCGAGCGUUGUUCGGAUUUACUGGGCGUAAAGGGCGCGUAGGCGGCGUAUCAAGUCAGGCGUGAAAGCCCCGGGCUCAACCUGGGAAUGGCGCUUGGGACUGGUAUGCUUGAGUUCGGGAGAGGAGAGUGGAAUUCCCAGUGUAGAGGUGAAAUUCGUAGAUAUUGGGAAGAACACCGGUGGCGAAGGCGGCUCUCUGGACCGAGACUGACGCUGAGGUGCGAAAGCGUGGGGAGCAAACAGG